GUGGGGAAUUUUGGACAAUGGGGGCAACCCUGAUCCAGCCAUGCCGCGUGCGGGAAGAAGGCCUUCGGGUUGUAAACCGCUUUUGUCAGGGAAGAAAUCCUUUGGGUUAAUACCUCGGAGGGAUGACGGUACCUGAAGAAUAAGCACCGGCUAACUACGUGCCAGCAGCCGCGGUAAUACGUAGGGUGCGAGCGUUAAUCGGAAUUACUGGGCGUAAAGCGUGCGCAGGCGGUUUUGUAAGAUCGAUGUGAAAUCCCCGGGCUCAACCUGGGAACUGCAUUGGUGACUGCAAGGCUGGAGUGCGGCAGAGGGGGAUGGAAUUCCGCGUGUAGCAGUGAAAUGCGUAGAUAUGCGGAGGAACACCGAUGGCGAAGGCAAUCCCCUGGGCCUGCACUGACGCUCAUGCACGAAAGCGUGGGGAGCAAACAGGAUUAGAUACCCCUGUAGUCC
rnacentral:rRNA from 1 species